rnacentral:rRNA from 1 species
AGGAUUCAGUCUGGAGUUGCCGUCGCGCUGGUCGGGGGCUUCCCCGGGGCCGUCCGACCGCGAAGGCCAGACGCAUUUGACUCCCGCCCUAAGGACGCCGCAACCGGUCGGGCAGUGCAAACGUGACGUCCUGGAAGUCGAGCAAGGGCAGGUGGCCGGUGGCGCGCCUAGUGUGCGUCACCGGUUGUUAGCCGGCUCGUCUGUGGACCGUCGCUCGACCGAGGUAUCGAGAUGCCCUUCGGGGCGCUUUCGUCUCCUCCUCGUCGGGAUUGCCGUCGCGAGCGAAAGGCAGCCGCGCGGCCGCACCCUUCAGGGUGGGCCAGCGGCCGCCGGUGACGGAUGACCCGUUUGGAGGUCGGAGGUUGGCGGCGAGUAGGUCGGUCCCCCACCCGACCCGUCUUGAAACACGGACCAAGGA